CCUGCCUCCUCCCCAUCCGCUGCAGCACAGAGGGCUGUGGCUCUGGUACCACGCAGCACUGCACCCCACAGCUCUCCUUCAUUCGUUGCCUCUGGUCUCCUGAAUUGGUUUCACUGACAUAAAACAAAGCUAGAGUUGACCCUUGAACAACGAGGGGUUAGGGAUGCCGACCACCCCCAAACAGCCGAAAACGUGUGUGUAACUUUUGGCUCCCCCUAAAACUUGGCCAACAGCCUGCUGCUGCCUGGAAGCCUUACCCAUAACGUAAACAGGCGACUCACACAUGUUUUGUGUGUUGUAUGCGCUGUGUACUGUAUUCUUGCAACAAAGUAAGCUACAGAGAAGAAAACAUUAUUAAGAAAAUUACAAGGAAGAGAAAACACAUUUUCGGUACCGGAUUGUAUUUAUGGGAAAAAAUCCACAUAGACCCACACCCACGCAGUUCAAGCUUUUGUUGUGCAAAGGUCGCCUGCAUUUCAUUUUUGACUUCAAAUCAUUCAUAAACCAUAUUUUGCUGGAUUUCUAAACGUAUCCUCUUGUGACGACGGGCUACGUUUGAAACACAAACGUGGUCACAUUUUGUCAAUGACAGGAGGAACUGAGUUUCACACUUCUAAGCGAGGUCUAGCACACCUACCCAGACGUGCAGGAGUCACAGAUGUGGAGCAGGACGGAUUUUUGCCAGCUGAACACACCCGGGGAACUCGACCACACCGAGAAACGUCCCUGGUCCCCAGAACUCCCCCACUCCGCAAACCCCCCUUCCAGCAGCGGUAAUCUCCCCUGACUUCAAUGGCAGUUUGCUCGGCCCAAGUUUAUGCUUUCAUGCAAAUGAAAUCAUAUAGCGUGUGGCCGGGUUUGCUCAAUGCCAGGGUCAGCCAGGAAAGUCUGGAACGCUGUACCUCACUAGCAAGCCUUGAGCCCAUCCCACACGGCAGCUGUCCUCGGAAGGGGCCCGUGGUGUGUGCCCUUGCCCUGACCAAGGACGCCCUCUCUGCCUUUGCGGCAUCUGACCACAGCUGGCCGCCGCGUCCCAAAGCGAAGAGCUGCGCAGCUUGCCGGCCAGCAUGGCACAAGGCGUGGCGCCCACGCUCAGCUGCAAGAACUGAGCUCCCACCAAGGUCAAGAAGGGGAUCUUUCCCCUGAGAUGGAGACAGAGCCAAAAGGGACUUUCUAAUUACGCAACUCAGAGAGUCAGUGCUUCAAAAACAAAACGCUCGGAGGAGUCGGAGUUUCUGUAAUGAGGACGGACACCGCCACAGCGGUGCUUGGAGCCACGCCUGCUGGGGACGGCAGGUUCGGAGCCGACAGCCUUCACCGAAGACUCUGCCGGAGACCCCUGGACCUGUGAGCAUGAGUCGCCAGGGCGUGUAUAAUCCAACUCCCACCCACCUGUCCCUCUCUCCCUGGCUCCCAGCUCUCCACGUCCUGCCGGUCUUCCCAGCCUUCGCACGUGCCGUUCCCUCUGUCGGAAACACCUUUCCUCGCUUGAACUCCUCCUCCUUUAUCAAGGCCCCAUUGAAACUCCAUCCCCCGUGACUUCACACCCAACGGUCCCCAGCCAUGCUGUGCUCACUGUCUUUCUGUGGGUCUAGGAUCUCUCUCAUGUCCUUGUUCCGUAAAUGCUGGAGGCUGCACACAGCCCCCCCCCUCGCCCCAGGACCAAGAAGCCCCCCACACGAGCUGGGCAUUCGCAUCCGCAGCCUGCGUCCCCAGGGCCUCCCAAAAGCCCGGCACGAAGCCCGGGCAGGCGGUGGGCUGCCUCUCCAUCAUCCUGAGCACGUCACGCUGGUGACCCGGGAGCUAUUUUCAUAAUUUCACAAAACCUAAUAGAAAUCGCACACGAGUCAAAAUCAGAGUGACAGGAAGGUCAAGUUUCACUGCUUUGGGAACCAGGCGUGCUGAUUAUCUCAUGGUCUGAUUGGCUGCCACGGUUCGAGUCAUGAAUAAAGAACGAGGAAGCUGUUAUCAUCUGGUAGCAAAAAAAGUUUCAAACUUGGGAUCCGAGGGGGUGUCCUGUGGAGAGGGCCAAGGCCGAGAGCCUCUCCUCCAGGGAGCUGGGCCACAGAUGGGAGAGCGGGCGCUCUGGGAUUAAGAGCUUUUCAAGCAAGGCUGGCAAGUUUUAAAGUGACCCAAAUACAGCAAAAUAUUGUAAAAUGAACUUGCUAACUUCUGGGUAGUAGCGAGCACCAUUUUGAAGGGACUCUAGCGUAGAAUGGAUAGGACAGAGUUUCAGGCUACGGCCUCGGGCCCGCGUUGACGGUCCCCGUGGACAUGCAUGAAGGAGGCGCUGGAAAAGGCCGGAGCUCUGUGCAUACCCGGGCUCAGCCCACCACGGGGGCUCGGCUCAGCAGCGUCUGACAAUGUGAGAGAGUCUCUAGAAGGACGGGACCUCGAAGUCCUCGGGGCAGCACUCUUCUUUAUGCCCGUGCCCACCUCUGUGCUUGAAUGCUUCCCCCGAUGGAGGGCUCACUACAGCGCUGGCAGGUAUCAGACAGCCUGUUAGGAUACGGAUAAAAGGAGGGCAGGGAGGCCCACCCCUGUUCCCACUGCUCUCCGACGCCCGUCUCCCGUAGCCCUUCCGGCAGCUCUGUGGGGCUCUUCCAGUUAAACCCUUCGCAGACAGACACGGGGGCUCACAGAAGGUUCUAAAUGACAGCCAAGGUGGGUCUAACACCAACGCUGAGCCCCGCCAGUGAUAGAGCGGAGUCUUCAUCCGUCAGGAGCCUCAUCCGCUUUAGGCCGGUGGACGUGUCUGGUCCAGGGAGGAGGGAAAUGGGGCACGGGCCCCCCACCACCACCCCGCAUCCUCUCCUGGCCUGAACCCUUUGCCAGGCCGAAACACCAGCUGUAAGCAAACCAUUCCCAGUCCAGUCGUGGCUGAGAGGUCCCGGGUUAGAGUCAUUUUCAUCAGAGAUGAGUUUGGAUUUCGUUUAUUUUGUUUUGUCUGAGGGCACUGGAGCAGGGGAUCCUUUGGUGCCUAAGGGGGUAAAUAUCAAUUUAUCUAAAAACUAUGCCAAGAUGUCUCAUUGCCCAGCAAUGCUGCACACAUUCAGCACACACGUGGGAAAACACCGAGGCGUCACUUCAGCCUGCUGUGUCGUGCUCGCCCUAACCUCAAGGCCAGGGCAGGGAGCAGACAAGACACCUGCGGGGCGGGCGCCGCACGGGAUCCCCGAGGAGCGGCUCCGCCUUCAUCCUCAUGACGCCGGUGAGCCCUGCACGGGCUCCAUUUUUAAAUGAGGAAACUGAGCACAGAAAGCGGAAUUAACUAACGUUCCACAGUGGGGAAAUCAGAUGGGCUUCCCCCCAAGCCCCCGGGGCCCCACUCAUAAGAAUCUGUCAACCAAAAAAGAAUGAAUGACAAAGCCCGCGUGACAAAAAGACAGAGGGGGAAAGGGAACGGAUUAUAACCUGGAGUGCUGUCUCGCACUUUGCAAUACACCAUGUGGUUUCAUAACUUUUUCAAGCAUGUUUUGGAUCCUUAACAAAAAAGCACUAACGUGUCGGUGCGGGCACGCACACACACACACACGCACACACGCAC